AGAACGAACGCUGGCGGCAGGCCUAACACAUGCAAGUCGAGCGAACCCUUCGGGUUAGCGGCGGACGGUUAGUAACGCGUGGGAAUAUACCCUUUGGUACGGAAUAGCCUCGGGAAACUGAGAGUAAUACCGUAUGUGCCCUUCGGGGGAAAGAUUUAUCGCCAAAGGAUUAGCCCGCGUUGGAUUAGGUAGUUGGUGGGGUAAUGGCCUACCAAGCCUACGAUCCAUAGCUGGUUUGAGAGGAUGAUCAGCAACACUGGGACUGAGACACGGCCCAGACUCCUACGGGAGGCAGCAGUGGGGAAUCUUAGACAAUGGGCGCAAGCCUGAUCUAGCCAUGCCGCGUGGACGAUGAAGGCCUUAGGGUUGUAAAGUCCUUUCAGAUGGGAAGAUAAUGACGGUACCAUCAGAAGAAGCCCCGGCUAACUCCGUG
rnacentral:rRNA from 1 species